AGAGUUUGAUCCUGGCUCAGGAUUAACGCUGGCGGCAUGCCUUAUACAUGCAAGUCGAACGAGGUGUCUUCGGACACCUAGUGGCGAACGGGUGAGUAACACGUAUCCAACCUACCCAAAAGUGGGGAAUAACUUAUCGAAAGAUUAGCUAAUACCACAUACUAUAUUGGAUCGCAUGAUUUGAUAUUUAAAGGUCCGUUUGGACCGCUUUUGGAUGGGGGUGCGGCGUAUCAGAUUGUUGGUGAGGUAACGGCUCACCAAGUCGAUGACGCGUAGUUGUACUGAGAGGUAGACCAACCACAAUGGGACUGAGAUACGGCCCAUACUCCUACGGGAGGCAGCAGUAGGGAAUUUUUCACAAUGGGCGAAAGCCUGAUGGAGCAAUGCCGCGUGGAUGAUGAAGGCUCGCAAGAGUUGUAAAAUCCUUUUAUUGAGGAAGAAUGACGCACGGAGGAAAUGCCGUGCGUUUGACGGUACUUUUUGAAUAAGUAACGGCUAACUAUGUGCCAGCAGCCGCGGUAAUACAUAGGUUGCAAGCGUUAUCCGGAUUUACUGGGCGUAAAGCGAGCGCGGGCGGAUUGGCAAGUCUGGCGUUAAAUAUGGGUGCUCAACAUUCAUAUGCGUUGGAAACUGUUAGUCUAGAAUGCAGUAGGGAGUUUCGGAACUUCAUGUGGAGCGGUGGAAUGCGUAGAUAUAUGAAAGAACACCAGUGGCGAAGGCGGAAACUUAGGCUGUGAUUGACGCUUAGGCUCGAAAGUGUGGGGAGCAAAUAGGAUUAGAUACCCUAGUAGUCCACACCGUAAACGAUGGAUACUAGAUGUCGGCAUGAAAUUGUCGGUAUCGCAGCUAACGCAUUAAGUAUCCCGCCUGGGUAGUACAUUCGCAAGAAUGAAACUCAAACGGAAUUGACGGGGACCCGCACAAGUGGUGGAUUAUGUUGUUUAAUUCGACAAUACACGAAGUACCUUACCUGGGCUUGACAUCCUUGGCAAAGCUAUAGAAAUAUAGUGGAGGUUAACCGAGAGACAGGUGGUGCAUGGUUGUCGUCAGCUCGUGUCGUGAGAUGUUGGGUUAAGUCCCGCAACGAGCGCAACCCUUAUCGUUAGUUAAUUGAUUUAGCGAGACUGCUUACGCAAGUAAGAGGAAGGUGGGGAUGACGUCAAAUCAUCAUGCCCCUUAUGUCCAGGGCUACAAACGU
rnacentral:rRNA from 1 species